AAUAUUUGACAAUGUGGGCAACCCUGAUCCAGCCAUGCCGCGUGUGUGAAGAAGGUCUUCGGAUUGUAGAGCACUUUAAGUUGGGAGGAAGGGCUUUAGGUUAAUACCCUGAAGUUUUGACGUUACCAACAGAAUAAGCGCCGGCUAACUCUGUGCCAGCAGCCGCGGUAAUACAGAGGGUGCAAGCGUUAAGCGGAAUUACUGGGCAAAAAGCGCGCGUAGGUGGUUCAGUAAGAUGGGUGUGAAAUCCCCGGGCUUAACCUGGGAACUGCUUUCAUAACUGCUGAGCUAGAGUACGGUAGAGGGUAGUGGAAUUUCCUGUGUGGCGGUGAAAUGCGUAGAUAUAGGAAGGAACACCAGUGGCGAAGGCGACUACCUGGACUGAUACUGACACUGAGGUGCGAAAGCGUGGGGAGCAAACAG
rnacentral:rRNA from 1 species